AGGUAACUGUCCUUUUAAUAAUUUAAAAAGUACAUUUUCAUAUCUUAAAAUACAUUGGUUAUAUUUACAGAAAAAAAGAAUCCAAAUCAAAUAACAUCAAAUAUGUCAACAUUUAUACAGAUGAAGGGCUUAAUCGACAAUAUGUGUUUUUUAAAGGUCGUCACAAAUGUAAUUGUCAAGCAUCUAGACAUGGUUUAGUAAUUAACUGUUUGGAUUGCGGUCGAGCUGUAUGCAAAUAAGUAGGAUCUGGUCCAUCUAUUAUAAGUGGUAUGUUCAAAUGAUGAGAAAAUUUUAUUGAACUGCAAUAAUAAUAAAUCCAAACAAUUGUAUAACCAGUUGAACAAACUGUUACGGCAGCAGCAGACAACAAAGUUCUUGAACAUCAUGAUAAGCUACUAGAGUUUGAUCAUACCAGGUAAGUCUAUGAAAACAAUGUUGAAGAUGAUAUCGAUGUAAUUCUGAUGAUGAAGAGACACUUUCAAUUGUGAUCAAUGAACAUCUUAACAAUCCUUUGAUAUAAAUGGAUAUAAAGUUCAAUGACAAUGAUAUAAAAAAAAAAAAUUAAAAGACACUUUUGGUCUUAACAAGCCACUCUUACAGGAUAUUUAGGAGAGUACAAGAUGCUGAGCUAAUGUUGAUGGCCGAUCCAGGUCUUUAUUUGAGCAUGCAUCAGCCAUACAUCUCUCUUGUUACUAAACAUUAAAAGAUAUGCGAUGAAAAUUUACAUAUAUUGAAUGUGUCAGCUAGGUGACCAGGGUCUACACAAGACGCGCACAUUUGGAAUAAUAUUGUUGUACAACAAUUCAUGACAGAUUUGCAUGGUUGAGGAUUCAAUUCAUAAUUUCUCAUAGGAGAUUCAGGAUAUCCACGUGGUUGUUAACACCUUUUUUAAAUGCUGAGCCUUAAUACUCCUGAGUACAGGUUUAAUCAAAACUAUCAAUGGUUUUGUCAUGCAAAGUCAUGUAUUCAACAAUGUAUUGGAGUUCUAAAUAUGCGUUUUCGAUAUCUUCUCAAACAUAGAACUCUAAAUUGUUCUCCUAGCAAAGCUUCAAAAAUAAAAUGCAUAUGUUGUGUUGCAUAACUUAUGCAUUACGGAAAAUAUUCCUUUGAUAGACGAUGGUAAUUAUGUAAUUGAGAAUUUAGAUUAAGAGGGCGCACUAGUAGACAAAAUAUGGCAUAAAAACACGGUUUCGUAAUUCUAGGAAUACGGCUUAUUGAAGCGUUUUACAGUAUAAAUACCCAUUACAAAAAUUGUAGAGUAGAAUUUUUUCUAGAGACGUAAAAAGCCCGAUUUUUGAUAUUUUUAUUAAUUAGUUAAAUAAUUAAUUGAUAAAAUGUUUAAAAAAACGUGUUAAUUUACCAUGCAAUAUUGUACGAUUGGAACAAGAUAUCAAAAAUUGGGCUUCUUACGUUUCUACAAUUUUUGUAAUAGGUAUUUAUACUGUAAAACGCUUCAAUGAGUCGAAUUCCUGGAUUUACAAGACCAUGUUUUUCGGUAAAAAAACGUUUAAUUACGCUCGUCAUGAGCUGCGCACGUUAUAGGCAGCGUAUAGUACCGCAUCAUUGGUCAAAACGGGGUUUCUAUCGCAGCCGUGCGCCCGUACAGUUUAUAA